GUUUAGUGACCUUCUAUGUAAGAUAUUUCUUUCUUUUAUCUGCAGAGUCAACAGUCCCAGGCAGGGACUCUUGGUCCUUUGGUUAAGAAGAGCAUCUCUUCAUUUCUAUUUCAGUUUCCUCUGGACAGAGAUUUGGAAAGGGUGUUUUUCCCUCAGUUCUACAGGUGGAAAUUUUGAAACUUAAAUGCCUCAUAGAUACGCAACAGAAACUUGACCUUCAUGAUCAAGGUAAAGCAACCAUCAAACCUAGCUGCAGAGAGGAUCCCAGAGGAAUGCCACAAACCUCUCAAGCAUAGCCUUUGAUCUUCAUAUCCUUCACAAAGGGAUAAAGAGCAGAAAAGACAGCUGGAAACCAUGGACCCACCUGGAGGGAACUCAACAUGUGAAGACAGUGCAGCUAUUCUGCUACCUAUGGACUUUCAAGUUCAGUAGUGGACAGAUGGUGUCUGGGGGACUCCUCCCUGUGGGAACAGGCCUGAGAUCUAGCUGUCAUCUCUGAGAGGGUCCUUUGCCAGUUGCCCCAGAAACAGUGCCUGUGAUUCCGUGUCCAUAUGCCCCAUUCACCAACAUGCACAGAGGAGACUCAGUUGUCUCUCACCCAUGCUCAACUCCUGCCCAGGUAGAGGGAGAAAGAGGCAGUUGGGCAUCCAGGGUGCUAGUACCUAGGAAGUUAUACAGUGUGCCCUUUUGAAGAGAGGAUGUAAUUGUGGUUAGAAGCGCUUGAGGAUGACAGAACUCUCCUCAAAGAGCAUGAGGCAUGCUCCACUGCCCCUUG
rnacentral:lncRNA from 1 species